AAUCUAAUUUCUAGAUUGUGUCCUAUUUCUCCAAUCUCUCCACAGGAUCCCCCAAAGCGAAGGUGCCUCUGGCGUGUUACCUCUGCCAACUGGGGGACCUGAGAAGGAUCCCUUAAAGCAGAGGAACCUCUACGCGCUUAGCCACUGCCAGUAGGGGGAUCUGAAGAAGUGUUUCGCUAAAUUUACCUUGAAUGAUUACACCGUGUAACAAAGCUUUUGUCCUUGAGUUGAAACUGUUAUUUCUUAUCUGCUUAUGUCUAGAAAACAUGAAAAUAUAUUUAUAUUCAUUUCUAA